UCUUCUUGUUCAGGCUCCACACUGUGGGAGA
rnacentral:piRNA from 2 species